rnacentral:lncRNA from 1 species
CACCUGGAAGGGGGUUCCCGUCCCUACCGCAGAUGCCGCCCACUCAGCGCUCCUCGGGUUUCCUGUGCAGGGCUGUUUGGGAAUCAGGGCCUCUGGGUUUCCUGCAGGGAGACGACCCUCGGCUGAGACACCCCCCGCCCCCCCAGGCUGGCAUUGACCAGGAAGGGACUGCUGCCCACAAGGGUGCAGCCUCCCCUCACAGAGAGCUCCCAGGGGCACCCACUGGGGGAGGGGAGGCCCAGGCUGAGUCCUGAGAGGGGGGUCCAACCCGCAGGGAGGAAGUCAGGCCUCAGUCUCCCUCUCUGUCCCUGCAGAUGGUGCUUCUGCUGGGGUCAUCGCAGGCAUCGUGACGGGGGUCCUGGCUGGGCUGGCGCUGACUGCAGCCCUGGGGUGGUUCCUGCUGUGCAGGGACUCUGCAGGGUCCCCCUGCAUGACUCCAGGACAGACAUUCCCAUCUAUGAGGAACUUCGAAACUGUGACACAAACAUCUACUGUCGGAUCAACCCCAAAGCAGAAGUUACUCAAUACCUUCCCCAAGGAACUUGGGCAGCCGAGGGGAGGGGCCACGUGAGACCACAGAGCCUGGGAAGGAGCUGAGCCUGUGCCCGAGGUUCAGCUGGGUGCUCGGGGAGGGGGCAGGUCCCUCCUGGACUACUGGAGACCCGGAGAGGCCACUCUGAGCUCAGGCUCAGCCGGGACAAAAUCCUCCCAACCCACCCCUCUGGGCCACCCCACAUGGCCUGUGACCUGCCAUGGAUUACUUGGAAAGAAUUUGAAUAAAGAAGACCCUUCCUCUCAUUUGGUUCUUUUCUACUCAUGGGAAUGAAAUUAAUUCACCUGAAACUCUGUUUUCGUCUAGCUCACACUGUGAGGUAUUAUCUCUAAUUUGCCCCACUUCCACCCCUACACCCUGGCAGGAAGGAGUUGGGGGGGCAA